rnacentral:rRNA from 1 species
UACGAAGGGGGCUAGCGUUGCUCGGAAUUACUGGGCGUAAAGGGCGCGUAGGCGGACAGUUUAGUCAGAGGUGAAAGCCCAGGGCUCAACCUUGGAAUUGCCUUCGAUACUGGCUGUCUUGAGUUCGGGAGAGGUGAGUGGAAUGCCGAGUGUAGAGGUGAAAUUCGUAGAUAUUCGGCGGAACACCAGUGGCGAAGGCGACUCACUGGCCCGAUACUGACGCUGAGGCGCGAAAGCGUGGGGAGCAAACAGG